rnacentral:lncRNA from 10 species
GUGUAACCAAAUAUCAUGAAACUCAGAGGAAGAAGGAUCAGGGGGUUUUGCCUGAGGGUGGAGGAGGAAUGGUUUGAAAGGUGCAGUGUGGUUGGAAGAGGAUACCCACCUUACCUCCUCCAUAUGCAGUACAUGCGAUGUGUUGGUAUAGAUCACUUUCACUGGAAAGGGCUGUAAAGGAAGCUCCAUCCUCAUGGGAAACCCAGGAACGUGGAUAUUCGGGGAUGAGUUUGUGGAUGGCAGAAGAGUUUGUUAAUCAUGGAAUAGUGUUCCAGGAGGCACAGCCGAAGCAUGUAAGGAGUGAAGGUAGAAGUGGGAGGUCAGG